CAGAUUGUCUUCAUUUCCUUGAAAUGCCUCAGCUAAGUGUCAUUUUAGAAGGAAAAGGAUGCUCAACAGACUGAACUUGGUGACCGUUAUGAAAUGACACAUUUUUUCCUCUUAUAUAAAGAUAUUUCUGAGUCAACACUGGUCAUUUCUUCUCCAACUAUCUUAGUACAUAUGGAUUUUCCCUUGCAUACUCUUCAUUCAUCAAUGUUACAAUCUCAAAUACCAGAGGGAAUCAGAGAGUUUACCAAAGCUACCAUUUAUCUUAAAAGGAUGAGUGACUUAAUGUCUAGUGAAAAAUCAGAGCUAAGUGGAGAUAGGUGGUCUACAGAUUCAUCUGUUGGAAUAAAAUAUAACACUAGUUGGAGAAAGUUGAAGAUCCUUUGCAUUAGAGACAGCUAA
rnacentral:lncRNA from 1 species